CGCCGGCGUACGAGCAGGUUUGAGCCUGUCCUUGAGUUGUCAACUUCGCUACUGAAACGCCCAGUAUUCAUCUGGAGUUCCUUCGGAAAACCACGCAGGACACCAGGAUGUCUCAUAUCCCUUGGUGCUCCCGACAGGUAGAAGACGAAUUUUGGUGAUUUAAUUCGAGCCGAAAUAGUUCAAAGGCACAGACAAAUACCGACGACUAUUGCCAGUGAUUUUUUUUUUGCGGGCCUGCUCACACGUUCAUUUUUUUUUAAACGUAGGUUUUGUUAGUAUCGCGGUCGAUUCCUUUGUGUUUGAGUGAGUGAUCAUUUUGCGGGUGAACGGAACUUUCAUAAAACGGAUUAGGCAUUUUAUAGAACUACACGCCGUAACGAUCUGGAUAGAAAUUGCGGUGUACAGUGGCGUUGAUCGUAUUUUGAAGUGGCGACCGAAAUAUUAUAUCGCGGAAUCCGUCGUGUGUUGCUUAAAGUGAAAAAGUACUGAUGUCAUAGUCUGCACUUAACUAUAAAGAAAUAUCUUUUUUACCUCGAGUGUACAAACAGCUUAAACUACGUCGUUAAACACUUCUUGAAGAUAUAAAGGCCAGUGGGAGAGUAGAGAAGGAGCUCCACGCGUUCCUAACUCCAUAUUUGAAGCAAGUGAUACUUAAUGCGUCGAGAACCGGACCCCGGAGUCCGGAAGAAAAUGUUUUGUAACGGCACUUAUAUUCUUAAUGUUCUUGCUGGUAUUUUGCAAAUGAAACAAAUGUCAUGGCACAGCGAAGGAUGUUUGAAGUGUUUCGGAUAAUUGCGUGCUCUCUGUUGUGAAAACUGUAUUAUUACCACUCGUUUAAAAGGUAAACACGAGAUUUAUUAAUUUCUUAGCUUGAGUGGUGACAUUAUUCCGUGUUUCGUAAGCUGCAGUUGAACGUUACGCUUUUGUGAACAUACAAAAAAAUGUUAUAGACGGAAACAGUGCCGUGCAGUUAAUGAUGAAAGUUUUGUAAAAUGACGCCGAAUUCUUCGGGUAAGAAAAGUUUUGCUUUCGGGCGAACAUUCACAGAAUUCCGCCAGUCCGAUGUUUGUUUGAUAGAAAUUGACUUCAUCUGUGUUUAAAAAGAUUCGCAUUUUGUGAUCGUCCUGGUAAAUGUCACGAACCAAGAGACGAAGAACUCGACACGUGCUUCCGGAGUGCUUGGACAACGUUCCAGUGAAAGCACCGGAUUCCAUUUGACACUGGAUUUCGAGUCUGAAAUCUUGAAUGCGAUAACAACAGAGACCGGAAGACGGACACCUGAAGAAAUUGUUUCCAUUUGAUUCGCCAACUAACGUGAAAGACUCGACAAGAAAAUUUCAUCUUUCUGUAGUGACCAUCGAUGCAGACAUGUUACGAAGUAUGGAAGCUCGUGUUCCACGACGUUGCGGCCGUAUGCCGUCGAAUGCAUGGUGGACACAACACU